rnacentral:lncRNA from 1 species
CCGGAAGUAAGUCAACAAAAAAGAAAACAAUGUUUACAUGUGAUCGGCUGUGAUUUCUAGAGUCCCGUGAUUUCGUGAAAACUAUCAGUAUUUUAUCAAAGUUUAAUUUUAUUAAAUUUUAAGACAUACUGUCACUAUCGGUCUCUUCUUUCAGUCAAUCUGCAGUCGUGGAAUAUUAUGAAAACAGAGUGUCUCUCCAUCACUUGAACCUGUGUGGCACCAAAUUUGGUUAGAUUGUGAGAUGGAAACACAUGAUCUUUCCAAAGUCAAUCCCAACUGUUUAGCUUUGGAAUGUUUAACCUUGAAGAAAGUGGUUGAUGGUGUUUCCAAAAAUAUCCCAGCUUUGGAUAAACAAUGGGCCGAGUCCAAACUCUUCACACUUUAUCAGCCACCGCCAAGUCCUGAAAGCGAUGGGUCUUUUCCUGUCGGGGCCAAAGAAGAGUGGUUAGAACGUAUGAAGUUUUUAAUCUCAGAUAUAGAGUGGCUUUUAGGACUACAGCAAUUCAGGUACGCAUUAUGAUUUACAUAGUGGUAUGGCUUUGACAGUACAUACAAUAAACAGAUUGGAAACUGUUUUUUUAACCGGAAAAUUUCUGUUAACUAAAUGUUCUCUUAACUUUCUAAAAUCGUACAAACUAAAAAUGACUAAAAAGCUCAUUGGGUCUUAAAUUUUGGAAUUUUUGACAAUUGCCAAACUCACAGGCUACAUUGCACCAAAUACUCUAUGAAAAUCUGUCGUGGCCACUUAAUAAUUACCUCAAUUCGAAUCUUUCUAAUUGGUUAUUUAUUAUCAAUGGGCAAGGAACUGAACUUUUAAAGCAAGCAGUUUCACUUGCAGGACUACAGAUCUUGCUUUUCAUCUCUCUAUCUUUAAAAGAGGAUCACAAAAAAUUAUUUUUGAGUUGAACAAACUUCGAAUUUUCUAAACGAGCUACUUAAAAUCUAUUGCAAGUGUUGGUAAUUAUGCCAACGUGCGCUUAAAGAUCCAGUCUAAGUCUGAGAAUUCAUUGUAGAGAGAAAAAGCGCGUCCGGCAAGCACAAAUUUUCUCUCAUGAGAGUUAUGCUGUUUGGCGCAACACUAGUUAUGACUUGCGCCAUCUAGUGAGCGAAUCUUUUUUUUAAUCAGAAUAUCAUUCUCAGUGUUUACCUUCUCCAAGUUAUGGCUGCAAGUCUUGUACCUGUACAUCGUGCGUAUGACUUUUCAUUAAAUGCCCUGUCAUGUACAGGCAAUACUAAUUUUGGCUCAAGAAAAAUCUACAGUUGCCACAAAAAUUGAACGUAAUGAGCGUCAUGGAUCCGAAAACUCUAUGGUGAGUUUUGAACACUGAUCUGUCAUAACAAGGAGCACUGUCUAAUAUCUCCUUGUUAUGAAUUUCACCAUGUCUUUUUAUGUAAAAAAAAAAAAGUACAAAUCGAUGGUUAAAGUGUCAAACCACAUAUCCCCAUUGCGGUAUUUCAAAUUUCUGCUUUUAUUUUAUUUUUCCAAGAGAAAUAAAUCAUAUUGAAAACUUGAAAUUCAUACCGAGUAUUUUGCUGACAGAGGAAAAAAAAUGAGAAAGUUCUCAAGUAAUUACGUUGGCUUGUUUUUCAACUAGGAAAAAUAACACCUCACAACAAAUUUUGGGUUUUGGUUUGCCCUUCGAACCAAACCAAUAUCGUUCGAUUCUUAGGUGAUAUAGAAGUCCGAAAAUGCCCAUAAUAGUUUCAGGAAAAUUGUCUGGUGCUAAGGGCGCCGCCAUUUUGAAUUUUUCAAAAUUGAUAAAACCCUUGAUCAGCUUUUUAGAAAUAUCUCCUCAACGGUUAAUCUUACGAACAAACCUCGAGUUUUUCAAGUCAAAAUGUUUGGACUUUUUGGUUUAGUUUUCCCUGCAAAAUGGUGUGGACCCAGCUUUAUUUUGCCACCUUGUUACACAGUUUGGGUCACGUUUUUAGGGUUUUCCCUCUCUUUUUUUCUGGAUUGUGAGGAAAAAGGUUGACAAAAUCACAUCUUAAGGGCGGAGCUAUUAAACUUUGUUUCGCAGGAUUAAGCCAAGCUUUGAAACUUUUGACAUAUGUUAUCUUAAAGUAAAUUUAAGCUCUUUUCAAUGAGCUUAAUAGUUUUUCUCUCAGAUAACCAUGGCUGGAGAUGUCAACCAAAGUUUCUCCAAGAAUCAGUAAUAAUGCGCCUAUUCAAGCUGAUUUUUGAUGAAAACGUUAAUUUUACGACCCAAAAUUAAGCUAGGAAUUGAAAGGGAGGGUGAUUUUGGUAGGGAGUAUUAUGUUCUUUCUAGUGAUUUUUUUUUUUAUUUUAUUUAUUGCAAGAUCAACCGUUGAGGAGAUAUUUCUAAAAAGCUGAUCCUGGGUUUCCUUAAUUUUGAAAAAUUCAAAAUGGCGGCGCCCUGAGCACCAGACAAUUUUCCCAAAGUUAUUAAGGGUAUUUUCGGACUUCUAUAUCACCUAGGAAUUGAACAAAAUUGGUUUGGUUUGAAGGACAGAGCCCAUGUUGAGCGGUGUAAUGUAUGGCGAGAAGUCUGCAGAGUUGCAAACAGAGAUACCUGAUUUUGCACUUUAGCCAUCGAAAAUUAUUCUAAAUACCCCGUGUAUAACUCGGCGAAUGUGAUGAUAAAGGAUAUCUGGUCUUUUUUUGUGAAUCUGGUGAAUUCACCCUUUAUUUUUUAACAUUUG